GUCAGUAACCCAGCCCUAAAGGGACUGGGCUUGCAAGAGUAAUCAAGCAAGCCGUACUGACCAGACCACCCUGAGUUUACUCUCAUGGUAGCCGUUGUUUGAGUCACGACACCCCGGAAUGCGAAGCUAGUUCCCUGCUCUGUC
rnacentral:sRNA from 11 species